GAUGAACGCUGGCGGCGUGCCUAAUACAUGCAAGUCGAGCGAACAGACGAGGAGCUUGCUCCUCUGACGUUAGCGGCGGACGGGUGAGUAACGCGUGGAUAACCUACCUAUAAGACUGGGAUAACUUCGGGAAACCGGAGCUAAUACCGGAUAAUAUAUUGAACCGCAUGGUUCAAUAGUGAAAGACGGUUUUGCUGUCACUUAUAGAUGGAUCCGCGCCGCAUUAGCUAGUUGGUAAGGUAACGGCUUACCAAGGCAACGAUGCGUAGCCGACCUGAGAGGGUGAUCGGCCACACUGGAACUGAGACACGGUCCAGACUCCUACGGGAGGCAGCAGUAGGGAAUCUUCCGCAAUGGGCGAAAGCCUGACGGAGCAACGCCGCGUGAGUGAUGAAGGUCUUCGGAUCGUAAAACUCUGUUAUUAGGGAAGAACAAAUGUGUAAGUAACUAUGCACGUCUUGACGGUACCUAAUCAGAAAGCCACGGCUAACCACGUG
rnacentral:rRNA from 1 species